rfam:TNVERIFIED: Cronobacter phage S13, complete genome.
GCGACGGUAGCCCAAUUGGCAGAGGCACAUCACUUAAAAUGAUGAAAGUUCGGGUUCGAAUCCCGAGCGUCGUA